GUGGGGAAUAUUGGACAAUGGGCGAAAGCCUGAUCCAGCCAUGCCGCGUGUGUGAAGAAGGUCUUCGGAUUGUAAAGCACUUUAAGUUGGGAGGAAGGGCAGUAAGUUAAUACCUUGCUGUUUUGACGUUACCGACAGAAUAAGCACCGGCUAACUUCGUGCCAGCAUCCGCGGUAAUACGAAGGGUGCAAGCGUUAAUCGGAAUUACUGGGCGUAAAGCGCGCGUAGGUGGUUUUGUAAGUUGGAGGUGAAAUCCCCGGGCUCAAACUGGGAACGGCCUCCAAAACUGCAUGACUAGAGUACGGUAGAGGGUAGUGGAAUUUCCUGUGUAGCGGUGAAAUGCGUAGAUAUAGGAAGGAACACCAGUGGCGAAGGCGACUACCUGGACUGAUACUGACACUGAGGUGCGAAAGCGUGGGGAGCAAACAGGAUUAGAAACCCGGGUAGUCC
rnacentral:rRNA from 1 species